UCUUUCUUUGCUGGCGACCGGCGCACGGGUGAGUAACACUAUCCAACCUGCCCUUUACUCGGGGAUAGCCUUUCGAAAGAAAGAUUAAUACCCGAUAGUAUAAUGAUUCCGCAUGGUUUCAUUAUUAAAGGAUUCCGGUAAAGGAUGGGGAUGCGUUCCAUUAGGUUGUUGGUGAGGUAACGGCUCACCAAGCCUUCGAUGGAUAGGGGUUCUGAGAGGAAGGUCCCCCACAUUGGAACUGAGACACGGUCCAA
rnacentral:rRNA from 1 species